ensembl:snoRNA
AAAUCAGGUCGCAAUUAUAGUGCUUCAUUUUCUGGGGCACUGCCAUUAUCCCGCUGAAAGAAUACCCGUGUUAAUCAUUUUUGAUUUUGCCUUUAGGAGGGUGAAUUAAUGACAGAAUGACAUGGACAGUU